rnacentral:tRNA from 1 species
GCGGGAAUAGCUCAGUUGGUAGAGCACGACCUUGCCAAGGUCGGGGUCGCGAGUUCGAGCCUCGUUUCCCCCUCCA